rnacentral:sRNA from 1 species
AUUGGAAGGAAUCUCCUUCGAUAAGGGGACAUUCUGUAAGGCCCAAGGAC